AACAUAUCUAUGAUCAUCACAGCCAGUUACAUGGCAGUUUGCAAAAUGGUGUACUUUCUCUACGGCAUCCUUUUCAUUACCCACCUAAACUAUCUGUCUCAGUUCACAAAAGCCCAAGGUCAGUUUGCAACUUUAACUGCUUGUUUUAUGACAGAUGUUUGUAAUGUAAUGUAGUCAGUGUUGAACAAUAAUGAAAUAA